GCCGACCCGUGCCACCGUCCCAAAACCCCGUUCGACCUAUUCUCCGAAAGAAAAGAAAAAAAAUGCAAAACUACUGUUCGUCUUCCCCAGCGGCCGUAGACCCUCUCACGAAACUUUGCAGCCGCGACCUAUGCCCUCCUUCCUCACAAAUGCUCAUGAAAACGUCUCAUAAAUCCCAGCAAUAACGACGGCGUUCGAUAGAAUUGAUCCGCUGCCGCCUCCAGCUUAAAAAGCAGGCCGUGCUGCCAUCCGCUUCAAGCUCGCGCGCCACCGCCCUCCACGUUCAGCUCAGGCUGGAAAUCCACUCCACCUUUUGCCCCUGCACCCGAUUAUAUUGGAUCGAUUUUGUCUGGUGCUAUCUCAACUCCAUCCCAUUGCUUUGGAUUUUUAGGUUUCUUGGUCUGCUCGCUGAAUAUUUCUUCAGAUCUCUGUCUGCUCGCUCCAGAUGACUCGGAUGAGGUGGUUCCCCAUGAAGGCUACAAACCCAGACUUCAUCUUCACCGUGGCCGGCUCCUCCGUUAGUUCCUCUUUUCCUCCUCCUUUCUUUUCUGUCGUUUAUCUCUUGCACUACAGGUGUUUGACGAUUUGUUCGGCAUGCCGACCUGUUGACUUCAUUGAACAUAGCCUCAGAAAUAAUCUCAACGGCCAAGACUAUAAGGUAUCAUGGCGCCAUGGUACCAUAUGUUGCCUGAAAAGUUAUCAAUCUACAAGAUUGAUGCACUGUAUCAGUCUAUCAGGCAUGAAAGAAACCGUACCAGUAGUCCAGUACAUGUUCCAUGCAA